rnacentral:rRNA from 1 species
UACGUAGGGCGCAAGCGUUGUCCGGAAUUAUUGGGCGUAAAGAGCUCGUAGGCGGCCUGUUGCGUCCGCUGUGAAAUCCCGGGGCUUAACCCCGGGCCUGCAGUGGAUACGGGCAGGCUGGAGGCAGGCAGGGGAGAACGGAAUUCCGUGGUAGCGGUGGAAUGCGUAGAGAUCCGGAAGAACACCAGUGGCGAAGGCGGCCCGCUGGGCAGUGGCUGACGCUGAGGCGCGACAGCGUGGGGAGCAAACAGG